GAGCGUGUCUAAGGUAGUGUAUAUAUAUCAGCCUUUUAAUUGAAGGCCAGUGAAUGGCAAGACUAGGAACACCUUUACUUUAUAUAUAAAAAAAACUUUUCGUCUAAGUGAAAAGACUUAGAUAACAAAGGAAGACGAAAAGACCCCGCGGAGCUUUACCUUCUCUAAUACUCCUGUUUACACACUCAAAUGUAUUAAAGGUUUGAUUGGGGCAAUCUUGGAACCAACAAAGCUUCCAACCUUUGAAAAACCUUAUACAUAAACUUGAUAAGGACCAAAAAGAAGCUACCCCGGGGAUAACAGCGUAAUCCAACUCAAGAGUACAUAUCGAAAGUUGGGUUUGCGACCUCGAUGUUGGCUUAAGGAUAUCCCCAUUAGUGCAGCCGCUAUGACAGGAUAGUCUGUUUCGACUAUUAUACCCUUACACGAGCUGAGUUAAGACCGGCGUAAGCUAGGUUGGUUUCUAUCUCCUUUACACAAACCACCUUCUUGAUUGUACGA
rnacentral:rRNA from 1 species